UUAAGUUCAGCGGGUAUCCCUACCUGAUCCGAGGUCAACCGAUUGGGGAUCUUACUCCCCGUUCUAGUUAAAGAAGACCGGAGCCGGCCUGCGCCUACGAGCGGUGGUUUUUUUACCUCCAUUCACUCGGGCGCCGGAGUCGCGGCUGCCGUCACUGCCAUUGGGGCGCGUCCACGCGGGACGGCCGCCCAAAACACAAG
rnacentral:misc_RNA from 1 species